CCUUACGUGGGGGUCCGGGCACAUUAGAGGAAGAGGAGGAAGAAGUUGGACUGACGAUGAGACGUUCAGGGGCACUGCGACACAGAGGGCAACCAUCAGAGCCUGAGACAUCUUUGUGGGAAGUCCUGUUUUGGUGGCUGCCAGACCUUGAUGAUGAAGACGAUGAAGAUGAAGAGGAUGAUAAUGACGGAGGGGUCAAAAAAGCAAAAUCAAAGAGAGGAGCGCAAUUAUCAAGCCGUCUCAGAAACAAGCCAUUGCCAGACAAAAAACUCUUGAAGCGAAGAGACAGAAAACUGAAGGACAGGAGAGCCAAGAAGGCCAGAGAUGAAGAAGUCAAAGACAAGAAAGACGGAGCUAAACAGGAAGACCCUGAAGAAGAAGAAGCAGAUGAAGAUGAGGAUGAAGGAGAGGAAGACACGAUUCCAAAGAAAAGUAAGAAGUCAGAGGGAAAGAAAGAUAAGAAAAAGACUCAAAAAGGAUGAGUGGACUCUUUCUACUGAGGCAGAUUUUAUAGAACUCGUUUUCUAAAUGUUCUUCAGUUGAAGUACUCUGGUCUCAUCUAUUAAAAUCCUAAUUCUCUCCAUCAGACUAAGAAGUAAUGAGUCUCAACGUGUGCUUACAGCCACAUGGCAGAACAGAAUCAGCAGCUCUGUGUCGCUCUCCAGGUCAGAUGUGAUUGAUGUGUGAUGGAACUUUGAAUUACUUGUGAGGAUAACUACAGUUUAAUUAAAACUUAUGUGUUGACUUCUUUAUUUAAAAUGUUCAUGUGAUCAUUUGGUUCUUUGAUUCUUUUUGGUGCUUAAAUAGAGACAUCGAAUAAACUGUGUCCAGCCAAGCCUGGUUAAAUGUCAACAAUGACGUAACACAGCAAACCUAAGAUCAAGACAGAGCAUUAUCAAUAAUUUGUCCAAUUUAGCCUGCUUUAUUGUUUAAAAGCUGCUUCAGAGGGCCUAGUUAAAGGCUCGUCUCUGAAGUAAACUCUAGCUUUUAUCCUGAUCAGCAACCUUGAGCUCAGAUGGUUGGUUCAAUAAAUCGUUGUGUGUGAUGUUUAUGGAGGAGUGCAGACUCAAGGACACAAAUGUUUCCUGUUUCUCACAGUAUUUAAUUACAAAAACAACAUCUUAAAGGAAGAGCUACCAACCAUAGCUCCAUAUCCAGAACCUAGACUGUAAUACAAAAGAGUGUGGUCAGAUUUAUACUCAUGCAAUAACACACUGCCCUGCACAUUUACAUAAACCAAACAGAUGUGUAAAAAUCUAUUAAAUGUGGACUUAAAACAUUUGUAAAAAUAACUGAACUGAAUACACCUGCAAUAUCCAAAGGGACCUUGACACUGUGGCUGACAAGCAGGGCAGUGUGACUGCACAAAAUGACAGAGCGUGAUCCUAAAAUCCUAGCAGGGGAUCAA